rnacentral:autocatalytically_spliced_intron from 1 species
CUUAAAGCAUUGAGUGCCCGCCGGGAAACCGACGGAGUAGAACUGCUCAAAGUCGGGGAAACCUUGAACGGCAAUCCCGAGCCAAGCCUGAAAGCAUUUUCAGGAAGGUGUAGAGACUAGACGGGCAGCACCUGAGCCUCAAUUGGAGGCAUGGUGAAGGGAUAGUCCAGACCACGAACUCGCCG